UCCGAUGAGUUGAAAUGACAACGUGGAACAGCACGAAUUAAAUAAAAUCGGUUCGUUUAGGCUUUAAAACGCGUGGUGGUACAACAAAAAGAACAUUAAUUAGUGAAUAUAGUGAUGCAAAUUAAUUAUAUUUAUAUGUGAUAAUCCUACGUAAGUGGUAUUAUUAAGGAUAUUAACAUCAAGGAUUAGAAAACAAAGAAAAAGGAACUAUCAGGAUGAAGACAACACAAGAUAUAUACAUAAUAAUACACAAAAGGUCAUAUCGAUGAUUAAUUGUUCUGCGAUGUACACCAUCAAUUUGUAUCAAACUCAAUUUGUACGUAUACAGAGGAUGGGCUAUGUAGUAUCGCGAAAGCUGUGCUUGCGUCCAGGACUGUGUCCUUUGACCUGAUUUUUCCAUUACGAUGGCAAUCUUAAGCAGUAUUGACCUUAAGGAACAUCAUCCAUUUUAAAAAAAGAUUGUUUCGAGUAUUUUUUUGGAGCAUGGUACCCAACCUGGACAAUGCGUGCAGUGAAGAAAUUGAAGCGUCUAAGAGGUCGAUGGAAAUAUCAUGGAUAAGAAAAGGUUACAAAUCAGGUGGUUUUGGAAAAAGCAAGAGAACAAUAGGAGCUAUGGAAAUCAACAAGAAAUAAAAGAGGAGAUAAGAUGGUAGGACAUCUUUUGAGACAUGAAGUUGCAGCUACCGACUUAUUAUAAGUAGAAACUGGAGUAAAGAGAGGCAGAAGAAGACCUAGAACUACAGGUGCAUGCAAAUAU